rnacentral:tRNA from 2 species
GGGCCUGUAGCUCAGUGGAUAAGAGCACGUGGCUACGAACCACGGUGUCGGGGGUUCGAAUCCCUCCUCGCCCG